UUUGAUGUGAAUUGAUUUAUGUUUGGAUACACUUUUUUACAAGUGAUUUUAUGAGUUGAUGUUGUUUGAUAG
rnacentral:pre_miRNA from 1 species